AUUAAAUGAUAAUAUUCAAAGUGAGAAUCAUUAAUGUUUUGAAAAAUUGGAAUUCACAUAAUGUCCCUGUCAAACUUUGUCAUGGAAAUGUUUAUUUUCUUUAUUUUGAUAUCUUCUGCAGUAGGACAAAACCAGCCAAAUGGAAAUUUUUUAUUUGACGCGCCACUUAUUGGUGAACAAAAUCUGCCACUCGUUGCUACUCUUGAUUUUUCAAAAAUAGACACGGAGCUUAAAAGUUAUAUCAGCAAUACAGUUUAUCGAGUCACAGACGAGAAAGUGAAAAAUGACACCCAACAGGAAGUCGACAAACGCAUUAAGCAGACUGUUCCACAAGUUAUAGAUGCUGUCACAGAAAAUAUUCGUAGUGAUCUACGAGAAAGUGCAUCGUUCACUGCCUCCCUGACAAAUUCAAGAGUGCCAGCUGACACCAUUAUAUUUGACAAAGUAUGAUUAAACACCGGAAACGCAUAUGAUAAAAAUACAGGUGUCUUCACUGCUACGAGAGGUGGACGAUAUCACUUUUCUGCCACUGUAAUGUCUAGUGGGAAGCACGGGGAUGUAUAUUCCGCUUUGAAGAAGAACAACGUAACUCAUUUUAACAUCUUCGGAGGGGAGAAUUUGUACACUGGGACUGUUAACUGUGUAUUAGCUUUACAGAAGGGUGAUCACGUAAGAAUUGUGCCUACCAGAGGUGAAGGAGUUUAUGGAGGCCAUUGGUCUGUGUUUUCGGGAUACUUCAUCGGUGAAUAAUGUUAUAAAAACUACAUAGUUGUAAAUAAACGUAAUAUUAUUUACGCAUUGAAAUACAAUUAAAGCACUAUUGUAUGCGUUUCAGGUGUAGUUCUUAUAAAAAGGGAUAUUACAGCCUAAUUUUUACGAUAAUUUUGUUUAUAAAGCACGCAAUUUUAAAAACGACCCAUACAAACUUAUCGAUUAUUUGAAUAAACUUAUUCGUAAAGGAUACCUUUGUACAUUGUAACACCGUGGUAAAAUCUUUGAAUAUGGUUUUUAUCGGCACUUACAUUAAUUUUAUUUUCGAUGAAUUAAAACAUUACUAAAUAUU